AAGCAAUUUGCUCAUAGCCAUAGCUUUCUUGUGAAAGUAGGAUAUUAACCCAGGUGUCUUGGUGCUGGAGAACAGAACUGGCCAGAGUCCAUCCUGUCUCCCACCGGCAUCCCAUUACGAAAUGAACACAGAAAAGGCAGGUCUGCAAUGCCAACAUCUAGUAUCUAUCCCAAAGACCAGGGAGAAAGGAAGGAAAGAUUCUGGUUCUGUCCUCUUCCCCAAGGCAAGGCUGGCUGCCCUACCAACAGAGGCAAAGAGAAGAGUGUGCAAGGCUGGCUGCCCUCCCAACAGAGGCAAAGAGGAGUGUGUGUUGAAAUAUCCAUUGAAUCCCUGAGACAACUGGAUCCUGGCCCAUUGAAUCAUAAACUCAGCAGAAUCUCACAUCAUAACCCCAAAUGACCUGUUACUCACCAUGUGGCCCAGCUGUCUUCAAACUCACCAGCCUCCUGCCUUAGCCUUCUAAAUGCUUGGAUUACAGGCAUGACCCACCAUAACUGGCUUUGUUUUAGUUUCAGAGAAGAUGAAACUGAUGUGCGUCAAAAAGUUAUGGAGGCUGGGAAGACCUAGAAUGUGGCAUCACUAUUUGCUGAAAUUUUUAAUAUAAUGCCUCUUAGCCUGGUUUGGAGAAAACGUCACAGAGAGGCACCAUUUGUUGUGGUUUUACAUGAAAAUUUUCUGACCCUGAACCUGGUUUGAUGGAAAUCAUUUGCUGAGGUUAUUUAGAAAAUUGUUACCUCAAAAAUGACCUAGGGGUCCUUAGAAUAAUAACACACAGAAGAAUAGCCUCAUUUUUCUGUUGGGCCCAGGAAACCAUGCCGAUUACCGACCGAGCUCUCAAUGGAAAAAUGCAGUCGGCGUGAACCACGCACGAACACAGCAGAGAAAGAAGAAAACACACACCACGAGGAACCCUAAUAGGACAAUACAUUAUAAGUCACAGUGCUACGGAGAAACCCAGUAGCCACAUGGAAGCAGAGACCAUGCAUAUGCAUCUACUCCGCAGCUCUGUGAAUGUCAGCAGCUCCCACGGACUGGAGAUCCCGUGAGAUCCCGUGAGAUCUCACCCAUAGCCUCAUGGUACAUCCACUUGGUGUGCUGGGAGAGUCAGGAUGAGGACCUGAGAAGAACAGCAGCUUGAACCUGACUUCAUUUAACAGCCCACUGCCCUCUUGCCAAGAACCCAUCACAGACCUUCCCAGAAGAGAGGGAUGAGCCUCACCUAUGAAUAAGUCCUCAGAAACUCAAAUUUGAUUCUAAUGGAUUGUUUUCUCAGAAAGACUGAGCAUGUCCCCCCACAUCUCUGUCAUUUCCCACAGUAGUAACCUCUGCAGAUGCCACAUAGAAAACAAAACAAAACAAAAAAACAUGAGGUUGGUGGGCAGAUAGGCAGGGUAUAAACAAACAGCCUUGUAACCCAGAAGCUGUGUGAUAUACAGUAAACUUCACAACACUGAAAAGAUGUCCUAUCUGUUAAAAUGGGGUAAUAACAACUACCCGAAUGUUUAGGAAUAGAACUUCAAUAAAUGAUACAUUUUAUAGUACAGCAGACCAUCCUGUAAAGGUUUCAUCCUUCACUGUGGUGAUAAAUAUCCCAAACCACAUUGAAAAGCAUUGCAUCUACAUUUAUCUACACUGUAACUGUACUGUAAAUCAUGGGGGAGGGGAGAAUCAUAAAAACACCACCUGUCACCGUGUCAUUAAAGCAAGUUGGAAGUGAUACUUACAGAAACACAGCAAGAGCACCCCCAGUCACACAGUUCAAUCUCUUAGCAAGCGUUUUCUUUCUAGCCCAGUGGUUCUCAGUUUGGAAUUUUUGGCACUGCCUAGAGAUAGUUUUGUUGUUAAAACUGAGAAAAGAGCCGGGCGUGGUGGCACACGCCUUUAAUCCCAGCACUCAGGAGGCAGAGGCAGG
rnacentral:lncRNA from 1 species